CCUGCAGAAACUGUAUCAAACUGUUCUUUUUGUCCUCUUUUAUGUUGAGCUUGUUGAUUGUUAGGCAAAACCAUAAUGUUAUUCGAUACAAUGUUAUCCCUAUAUUAAAUCAGAAAAAAUAUUAUAUAUAUUUAAAAUGAAAAAGAAAAAGACAAUAACAUAUAUUUCAAUGUCCUAAAAAGUAAAUAAUAUGAUAUUGCUUAAAUAAUAUGAUAGUAUAUUAGUAUUUGUAACAUCUAUACCAAGAUUUUAACAUAGUCUGUACAAAUAUACUCAACACCAUUCUGUGUCUUAUAUUGCACAGUUGAGUAAAAUAUUUUCCCUAAGGUCCAAACAGUUCCAUGAAUUAUCCAAUAAUGUUUUACGUAAGGUCCAACACCAUUCAUUGAGCAUUCUAAUAAAAAAAUGAAGGGUGUGCAAUAUAAAGUUUUAAGUCUCUUAAUCAUGAUUCCUGACAUAAUUGUAGGUUACAAACUGAAUGUGAUUUUUGGACUACAACGUCUUACAGAGAAGCUUACUAUUUAAAGUCUUGAAAAUGUAAACAGUAGUACAAACAAACUUAAAAUGAAAAUUUAAAAUUUAAAUAACUGAAACUGUUCUGGAAUGAACAUCAAAUAGAAGUUGAUGUCCUAGAGACUCUGAAACCAAUUUAUUAUCUCAAAGGUUUGCUUAUCAUUAUGACUCUUACAAUACUAAUGCUUUGAUAAAGACUAAUUGUAGAGAUUAAGUUCUCAAAAACUAAUUACAAAAUGUUGGAAAAAAAUAAAAAUAAAACUAAAUUUGUGUUUUUAAAAUUAAAUAAAAUGAUAUUUAAUGCUCUAACGCUCACACCAGAUAUGAAUCAAAAUGUCUCACGACAUUUUUGGAAUAAAUUUAAAUGAAUAAGUAAAACUUACACUGACUCAAUUACUGAAUUUAGCAUUGAUUGUGCUCGUUCCUUCUCUCUUCUUAUGCGUUGCCCUAGCUUUGCCUUACUUAUCUCUUCAGUUCCAUUUGAAAAUAUAGCUUUCAAUGACUUUGUUUGAGAAGUUGAAUCACUGCCAUGUAGGUAACAUUAUAAGCAUCAUUAUUUUAUGUUACAAAUAAUGAAAAUUGUUGUUCAUGUAAUUAAAUAAAAUAAAAAAAUUAUAUUAUCUAUGUGCAAUCCUUAUGCAUUGAUUUGAAAAAACUUACAUAGGUUCAAUUACUGAAUUUAGAAUCGAUUGCGCUCGUUCCCUUUCUCUUCUCAAACGUUGUCCUUGUUUUGCCUUACUUAUCUCUUCACUGUUGGUUGAAGAAGUUUUCACACUUUUGACAGGUAUUUUUUUCUU
rnacentral:lncRNA from 1 species